UCCAGACUCCUACGGGAGGCAGCAGUGGGGGAUAUUGCACAAUGGGGGAAACCCUGAUGCAGCAACGCCGCGUGAGUGAAGAAGUAUUUCGGUAUGUAAAGCUCUAUCAGCAGGGAAGAGAAUGACGGUACCUGACUAAGAAGCCCCGGCUAACUACGUGCCAGCAGCCGCGGUAAUACGUAGGGGGCGAGCGUUAUCCGGAUUUACUGGGUGUAAAGGGAGCGUAGACGGCUGGUCAAGUCUGAAGUGAAAGCCCGGGGCUUAACCCCGGAACGGCUUUGGAAACUGAGCAGCUAGAGUGCUGGAGAGGUAAGCGGAAUUCCUAGUGUAGCGGUGAAAUGCGUAGAUAUUAGGAGGAACACCAGUGGCGAAGGCGGCUUACUGGACAGUAACUGACGUUGAGGCUCGAAAGCGUGGGGAGCAAACAGGAUUAGAUACCCGCGUAA
rnacentral:rRNA from 1 species